UAGGCAGAAGGGAGCAUUCCUUGCUCUCUGCUUUCUCACUGCAGACCCAAAGUGUCCCCUGGCUGGAGUUAGCUCCACUGGGAAUGGGCUGUGGAACGGUGGGACAGAUAAAGCAAACCCUUCCUCCUUGUGUUUCUUUUUUCAAAGCAACAGAAAAACUAAGAUGGGCCUUCCACCCGCCAGGCUGCCUGCUGGUAGACAGAAAGUCUGAGAAUCCAAUAGUUGUUUGGUCCACAAGGCUGAAUGUCUCAGCUGUGUCUUCAGUAUACACUAGAAUCCUGAAGAAGUAGACUCUGAUGCCAGUGAAGGAAUGGACUUGCUAUCAAAGGAGAGUUCCCUGAAGUGCUGAGAACUUCUACCUGCCCUCUGCCGGUCUACCUGCCUGUGCGAGUUCUACGUGCCUUCUGACACUAUCUCUGCGUGCUUCUAAAGGAGGAUGUGCUCUCAGGGUCCUCUGACCUUCCACUCGCAGGCAAGGCAAAUGACUCUGACGUAAUGAUCCUAAUCAGGAGUCACCGAGCAAAAGGGACUCUGGGAAAUGUCGUUUGUGUCGAGCUCACGGAAGCAGAUGGGACGGGACGAGCCUGGCUAAUCUAGUCCAAACUUGAGGAAGUUCUCCAUGAAAAAUCCUCCCAGUGAACAUGCAUGGCGUUGUGCUUUUUGGCUUGAAAUUCCCUUUUCUGAUCCAAAUAUAGUAAUAAACUGUA